CGCCGCGUGCGGGAUGAAGGCAUUCGUGUCGUAAACCGCUUUUACCAGGGAAGAAGAAUGUGACGGUACCUGGUGAAUAAGCCCCGGCUAACUACGUGC
rnacentral:rRNA from 1 species